UGAGCAAUCUGCCCUUCACAUCGGAAUAACCAUUGGAAACGAUGGCUAAUACCGAAUAUGACUUCGGAUCGCAUGAUCUGAAGUGGAAAGCUCCGGCGGUGAAGGAUGAGCUCGCGGCCUAUCAGCUUGUUGGUGAGGUGAUAGCUCACCAAGGCGAUGACGGGUAGCCGGCCUGAGAGGGUGACCGGCCACACUGGGA
rnacentral:rRNA from 1 species